AACCAAACUACACAUCAGGUGUGUUCGCAACAGAUUUAGCAUUGUUGGACUCACAAUGGGAAGUUACAGUAUGUAGUUUAUUCCACCCAUUCUUCAUCCUAGUCAAAACCUGGUAAUGUAGCCUCAAACUGUUAGCCUGAAGCAGAGAUGAGGAACAGGCUACAGAGGUCUGGUGGUGUCAUUGAAGGGGUACUUGAGUUCAUCUGAUGGGGAUGUAGAUUAGACAAAAAGAAAGUUGGGAACUACUGACGACCAACAAGUGCUGGAGCAGGAACUUGUCCAUCUCAGACAGGACAGCACUAACAUUCAGCUGCCUCAGGACAAAAGGUUGCACAUCGUAACUUGAACCUGGCGAGAUUCGUGACCAUGAAUUCUGGAGCUCAACAGAGAUCUAACCAGGAGUUUCCUGGCUGAGAAUCAGGCAGAGCAGCAGGCCAGAUUGAGGAGCUGUGUGUCCUCCUCCUGUCUGCCUGUGGGACAAUCAGCCACUCCCUGCGACCACAGAGACCGAAGGCACAGGGCAAGAAUGUCUUUCAGUGAGCAAGUGAUGGAUGCCAAGAUGCACACAUACACACAAGCCAAAAGAACACACACAUGCUGAUGCACAUUAUUUAUCCAUACCAUUUUAUAAUGAAUAUUUUUCAUAUUCAUGUGCUUUCUUUAUUUGGAAAGCUUCAUUUUUCCAGAUGAAGGUUACAGAGAAUGCAUACUCUUAAGGCCUUAAGGUCACACCAGGAUUUAAAACAGCAAAAUGCCUAUGCACCAAUGCAUGUUUUCAAAAUUUCAAAGUUCAAAAGUUCACCAAAGUUGAACUCUGGUGAAUCUGCACCGUUGACCAAUGACAAGCCGUCUCGACAGUGCUGACCUGGGAAAGGAGAGCUGCAGAGUCAAAAAAUGGAUAACGCUAAUGCAGCUUAUUAGCUGUGUGG